CCUACGGGUGGCAGCAGUGGGGAAUAUUGGACAAUGGGCGGAAGCCUGAUCCAGCAAUGCCGCGUGAAGGAAGAAGGCUUUCGGAUUGUAAACUUCUUUUGUACGGGAAGAAUAAAGUGCCGUGACUGUAAGAAUAGCCAGCGGCUAAAUACGUGCCAGCAGCCGCGUUAAUACGAAGGUGGCAAGUGUUACCCGGAUUUCCUGGGUGUAAAGGGCGAGUAGGCGGGAUUGCAAGGCAGAUGUGAAUACUAUGGGCUUAACCGAUAAAGUGCAGUUGAAACUGUAGUUCUUGAGUGAUGGAGAGGCAGACGGAAUGCCUGGUGUAGCGGUGGAAUGCGUAGAUAUCAGGAGGAACACCAGUGGCGAAGGCGGCCUGCUGGACAUCAACUGACGCUGAGGCGCGAAAGCGUGGGGAGCAAACAGGAUUAGAUACCCUUGUAGUC
rnacentral:rRNA from 1 species